GAGUUUGAUCCUGGCUCAGGAUGAACGCUGGCGGCGUGCUUAACACAUGCAAGUCGAACGAAGCGAUCGGGAAGAAAUUUUCGGAUGGAAUCCAGAUUGACUGAGUGGCGGACGGGUGAGUAACGCGUGGGUAACCUGCCUCAUACAGGGGGAUAACAGUUAGAAAUGACUGCUAAUACCGCAUAAGCGCACGGGGAUGCAUAUUCUUGUGUGAAAAACUCCGGUGGUAUGAGAUGGACCCGCGUCUGAUUAGCUAGUUGGUGAGGUAACGGCUCACCAAGGCGACGAUCAGUAGCCGACCUGAGAGGGUGACCGGCCACAUUGGGACUGAGACACGGCCCAAACUCCUACGGGAGGCAGCAGUGGGGAAUAUUGCACAAUGGGGGAAACCCUGAUGCAGCAACGCCGCGUGAGUGAAGAAGUAUUUCGGUAUGUAAAGCUCUAUCAGCAGGGAAGAAAAUGACGGUACCUGAGUAAGAAGCCCCGGCUAACUA
rnacentral:rRNA from 1 species